rnacentral:rRNA from 1 species
UACGGGGGGGGCAAGCGUUGUUCGGAAUUACUGGGCGUAAAGGGCUCGUAGGCGGCCAACUAAGUCGGACGUGAAAUCCCCAGGCUCAACCUGGGAACUGCGUCCGAUACUGGAUGGCUUGAAUCCGGGAGAGGGAUGCAGAAUUCCAGGUGUAGCGGUGAAAUGCGUAGAUAUCUGGAGGAACACCGGUGGCGAAGGCGGCAUCCUGGACCGACACUGACGCUGAGGCGCGAAAGCCAGGGGAGCAAACGGG